UUGGGUGAUUUCAACGAAAUCCUAACUUGUGAUGAGAAAAUUGGUGGGGCUGACCGGAGUCAAAGAUUUAUGGAUAAUUUCAGAAAGGCGCUCGAGGCGUGCGAGCUUAGUGACUUGGGAUAUGAGGGAGAUAGAUUUACGUGGAGGAACCACAAUAUUUGUGAAAGGCUUGACAGAGCGAUAGCAAAUGCAUCUUGGUGCGAGUGGUUUCCGGAGUUCAUAGUAAUAAACGGCCCUCCACGACACUCCGACCACCGACCGGUUAUCGUAUGUACACAAGGCGCUAUCAAGAGGCAGGGGGGAGGAGAUUGUGGUUUCCAUUUCGAAGCGUGGUGGCUCCAGGAGGAAGGGUGUAGUGCGGAGGUGCAGGGGGCAUGGGAGGAAGGUUGUAUGAUGGGCCAUGGGGAUGUGGCUUAUGCCAUGAAGAAUGUGGCUGGUAGGAUGAGGAUAUGGGGUAAGGAAGUGGCGGGAGAGCUUGAAGGAAGAAUAAGGGAUACUAGGAGAGCUUUGGAGAGAUGCAUGAGGGCGCCAGUCUCGGAAGAAAAAGUGAGGGAGGAAGGGAGGCUGCGAGGAUUGCUGGAGGAGCUGGAAGGCAAGAAGAACACCAAAGCUAGGCAGCAUUCACACGUCGCUUGGCUGAAGGAUGGAAAUAAGAGCACAAAGUAUUUCAUGGUAGUAGCUUCUGCAAAACGGAAGGCGAAUAGAAUCAAGAAGUUGAGGAGGGGUGAUGGAAUGGAAGUGAAGGAGGGGGAGGAACUAAAUGACUACGUUUGCUCUUUUUUAGGACCUUUUCACUACCGCCGGAGUCAAUCGUCUUUCUGA
rnacentral:rRNA from 1 species